rnacentral:rRNA from 1 species
AACUUUCAACAAAGGAUCUCUUGGCUCUUGCAUCGAUGAAGAACGUAGCGAAGCGCGAAAUGUAGUGUGAAUCGCAGAACACUGUGAAUCAUCGAAUCUUUGAACGCACAUUGCGCCCCUUUCCGAGGGGCAUGCCUGUCUGAGCGUCAUUU